UGCUACGGCCAUGCUACCCUGAAUGUGCCCGAUCUCGUCUGAUCCCAGAAGUUAAGCAGGUUCAGGCCUGGUUAGUAGUUGAUUGGGAGACCACCUACAAAGACCAGGUGCUAUAGGUG
rnacentral:rRNA from 1 species